AUGCUUACCACAAUGCCCAAUAAUCAAGUAAAUGGUGUUAAUAGCUAUCUUACCUCAAGUAUUCCAUGUCCAAAACUGCUCUUAUACACUAUAAUUAGUGAUAAAAUUAUUAAAUUAUUUUUAUAAAAAAUUUUAAAAAAUAUAAUUUAUAUAUUAAAAAAAAUCUAAAUAAAAUCUAAAUCAAAUAUAAAUAUUUAUAAUUAUUCCGUGUAUAUAUAGUACGGUGAUAGGCUAGUUUUUAAAAAUUUAAAAGCCCAAACCGUGCGUAGUUUGGACGGAUGAUAGCCAAAACCCUGAAAGCAACCCUAAAGCGUGCAAGUUCAAGCGUCUCAAUGGAAAUGGAAAUCGAUCCUCCGAAGAAGCUAGAAGUCGGAGCAGAAGCAAUCAAGGACGAUGACUUCUUCAAUGCCGCCGAAAAUGGCGACUCUUCCUUCUUCGAAGCUCUUUCACACGAUCAGCUUCUCAAAGCCCUCUCUCUCAGGAACGAAGAUUGCCGCUCGCUCCUCCACGUCGCCGCCUCUUCAGCUCACCCCAAGGUUGUGAAGAUACUAUCAGCUGCAGAUCCAUCUGUAACUGGUAUAAACAAUGCGGAUGAGGAGGGCUGGGCGCCAUUUCAAUUCGCGGCUAGCAGUGGGAAUGUAGAAAUUGUGGAGAUUUUGCUCAGCAGCAGGGUUGAUGUUAAUUUGAAAAAUAAUGGCGGUCGUACUGCUCUUCAUUAUGCUGCUAGCAAGGGUUGGUUGAAAAUAGCUGAAAUUCUACUUUCACAUGGUGCAAACAUCAAUUUGAAGGACAAGGUUGGAUGCACCCUUUGCAUCGUGCAGCAAGCACAGGGAACUCAGAGUUGUGUGAACUUUUAAUUGAGGAAGGAGCUGAGGUUGAUGCUAUUGAUAAAGCAGGUCAAACUCCCCUAAUAAGUGUAGUAAUAUGCGAAAACAAAGAGGUAAUUAUUAUUGUUAUCAAAUCCUCGAAAACUUGACGCAUAAAAAAUACAUUGGACUUUUAUUUAUGUAAUUAUGUUAACCUAAGCUAUUGCAACAUGCGUUCUAUUUAUGUCUUAAUUUUCAAUUUGUCUAGUAGAUUAAGGCCAUCUGGAAUUGAGUUGUAUUACCAAACAAGCAUGUCUGUGUUGCCUUUAAGACUCAUCUUUCUUUAACUUCUAGGGUGCAUUUUGACAGUGGAUUUCGAUUGGAAAGAGCUUUCUAAGCUCCAAUUCUGUAUUCCAGCAUCUGGAUAUCUAGCAGAUUGAAUUCUAUAAUUCCUCAAGACCCUGUAACAUAUUGGAUGGCCAAAUCUUUAGUUCAAUUUCCAAUUUGAAAUUUUUUAAUUUGUUAGUUUUAGUCUUCAGGAAUUUGCUAAUCAACUAUUAGUAUAAUUAUGGUGUGUGACAUGUGUCAGUUGUGUAGUGCUGAUAGUGGCGACACCGAUAGCAGCCACGCCAGUGGUGCUGUUGUGCCAAUGUUAGUGUUUUUUCAAAGAGCUUUGUGGUGGUGAUGAUGCCAUUGGCAGUGGUGUGUCAAUGUCACAACUUAGUGGGUGUUUGGGAAGUGCCUAUUUUUUAGGCUUUUUGAUUUUUUGGCUAUUUUAGUAAGCUAUUUUAGUUUUUGUGUUUAGGAAGAUGGGAUGAAGUUUUAUUUGAGUUGUAUUGAAAAAUGUGUUUGAAAUGAUGUUUGAGGUUGAAAUGACAAAUUUGUCUUUAAUCCCAUUUUAUUUCAAAAUUGAUGUAAAGGGGCAAAAGUGUAAUUUACUACCAGUGGGACAGCUUGCCAAGUAUAGUGGUAGGCUGUCAGUGCCAAAAAUGUAGGCUGCCGAGCUACAUUUUUUUUUAAAAAUGUAAGUCAAUAAAAUAGCCUAUCCCACUGCUUCCCAAACACCGCCUUAAUGUACUUGAUACAAAUAUGAUGAAGCCAUAGACAUUCCACUAGAGAAAGAUAUAUUUGGGGAGGAGAUCAAUAUCCAACUUCAAAGAGUAGACAUGGAGUACAUAUGUCAUGUAAAAGAAUUAUCUGUUACAUGUAUCAUGUUGUACAUAAGUCAUCUCCAUCAAGUGUUGAAGGCUUCCAAUUUGAGAAAACAAUUUGUAUUUGUUAACCCUUGUGUCGUUAGUGGAAAAACAAUGGCUGGAGAGAAAUCAAAAUCAGUGUUGCUUGCAAGAAGAUUAGAGGAGGCUAUGCUAGAACAAUUGAUUUUAAUUCCUUAUAAUAUUGGGUACCAUUCGAUAUUGUUAGUCAUUGAUCUAACAUUGAUGAUUGUGUACUUACUUGAUCCGAUUAAUUCUAAAAUAAACACAAGCUUUGAAAUUGUAAUAAACA